rnacentral:lncRNA from 1 species
GAAAAUGUCUUAAGUGUGCAUAUUGCACUCUUUAUUCAUACCUCGUCGAAAUCAUACAGUAUCUUGUCCAGAUUUGGAACAGAAACACGAGAAGCAUCCGUUGAUCAGUUUAAAAUUUGCAGUAAAAUGCGAGAAAACCUGGUACACACUUCACGGGAUAACAAUGGGAUCGACUCAUAUAUCCAUAAUUGGAAUGCGAGUGGGAAUCCGUAUAGUGUAUAUGAAAUUAUAGACUUCGAAUGACACAAAUUCUGUUUGGGCUCUUCGAGAUGAAUAUUCAUGUGGAAGUGUUUGUUUUGGUACAGCUCUUUAACCACGGAAAUGUGGUCAUGUACGUAGAGUCCAAGAUUCACAUUAAUGCUUCGCUUAUGACGGUGGGCUAUGGGGUUGUGUAUAGGAAGGAUGUUAAAAGGUGCAAUAUCCCCAACUUCACAAUGUCGCUGUCUAGCAUGUUCUAGGGAUGGUUUAGAAAAAUCUGUUCAAAAUUCUUCCUGUACACUCUCUUCAUGUCUCUGAAAUAAAUCGUUUUCAGUCUGCAUUCACCAAUUUUAAACAUACUUGUGUUGUCUUCUCCAACGCAUAUCAACCCGGUCACCACAUAGAAUUCUUGAAUUGAAAAUAUAAGGAGAUUUCCAGUAACAUUGAACCACAUUUCAUUAUCAUUGGACUGCUUCACUUCCAUCAAAAGCAUUUUAUGUACGUUUGGUGUUGAAUCCGAAUAUAAUUCAUCCGGAGGAAGUGUCCAAAACAUGUUCUAGAAAAAAUUUGCUUCCAUGUUUUAGUUAGAUUGUCUUUUAGAUCCGAAAGUACGUCAUCUUUGAAAAAAACAUUGAGGCUAGCACCUACUCUAUUCCCUACUUCUACGAAGUAUACAG